UACGUAGGGGGCUAGCGUUGUCCGGAAUCAUUGGGCGUAAAGAGCGCGUAGGCGGCCAGAUAAGUCCGGUGUGAAAGUCACAGGCUCAACCUGUGAAUGCCGCUGGAAACUGUCUGGCUAGAGUCCGGAAGGGGCGAGUGGAAUUCCUGGUGUAGCGGUGAAAUGCGCAGAUAUCAGGAGGAACACCUGAGGUGAAGACGGGUUGCUGGGCCGACACUGACGCUGAUAGCGCGAAAGCCAGGGGAGCAAACGGG
rnacentral:rRNA from 1 species